AACAUAUUCCCUCCGUCUGAAAAUACUUGUCGUAAAAAUGGAUAAAAUAAAUGUAUCUAUAACUAAAAUAAGUCUAGAUACAACCAUUUCGAGGACAAAUAUUUCCGGACGGAGGGAGUAUUAU
rnacentral:pre_miRNA from 1 species